GGCCUGGGGGGGCCUAACCAUGCAUGUCGAGCGGUAGAGAGAGGCUUGCUUCUCUUGGGAGCGGCGGAGGGGUGAGGAAGGCCUAGGAAUCUGCCUGGGAGUGGGGGAGAACGUUCACUACUGAACGCUAAUACCGCAUACGUCCAACGGCAAAAAGCAAGGGAGCUUCAGCCCUUGGCCUCUCGCAUUAGCAUGUGUCGGAUUAGCAAUAUGUAGAGGGAGGGGCACUGGCUGGCCACGAGGACGAUCCGGACCUGGACGGAGAUCAUGCCCACUGGCACUGAAACUGAGACCCGACCCAUACUCCUACCGGAGGUGGCGAAGGUUGAUAUUGGACAAUGGGCCUGAUCCAGAUGUGGCCAUGACGCGUGUGAGGACUACGCCUUAUAGAUGACUUGCACUUGCGAGGAAGAGCAAUUACCUAGUGUUUAUAUGACAUUGCGUUGCCGUUACUCUAAGAACAGGCUAACUCUGUGCCGUGCCCGCAGCCGCGGUAAUACGGAGGGUGUUAAUGUUAAUUACAAUUACUGGGCGUCGCGCGCACGCGUUUGUUUUGUUAAUGUGAUGUCCCCUCCCUCGCGCUUGACAUGUGAAUUGCAUUUUGGACUGACUAAACUAUAGUCUAGUAUAGUGGGAUUUCAAUGCCUGGUGUAGCGGUGAAAUGCUAUAAGAUCUAGAAGAAUAGCCGUGGGCAACGCCUCCCCCUAGUACAAAAACUGACGCUCCGGUGCCAUGGCGAGCGGACCAGAUUAGAUACCAUAGUCUGCCACUCCGUACAGUAAAUCAUGUAGAUUUGGAAGGUCUGCCCCUUAUGCGGGCUUACCGGAAGCAUUGCGUUAAAUCCACCGGCCAGGGCAGUCCCGACGCUAAAGAUUCAACUCAAAUUGACUUGACGGCGAGACCAGCCGUGCAGCAGUGAUCAUGUGGAUUAAUUCGAUGCAUCGAAACGUAUACCAUGGCCUUCGUCAUGCACAUGCACAUAACUUUUCCAUAGAUGGCC
rnacentral:rRNA from 1 species